rnacentral:rRNA from 1 species
UACAGAGGCCUCGAGCGUUAGGCGGAAUCACUGGGCUUAAAGCGUGUGUAGGCGGACUUCUAAGUACCUUGUGAAAUCCCACGGCUUACCCGUGGAACGGCUGGGUAUACUGGGAGUCUUGAGCCACCUAGGGGCGAGUGGAACAAAUGGUGGAGCGGUGAAAUGCGUAGAUAUCAUUUGGAACGCCAAUGGUGAAAACAACUCGCUGGGAUUGUGCUGACGCUGAGACACGAAAGCCAGGGGAGCGAACGGG